CAAGCGGUGUCCGGAAUUAUUGGGCGUAAAGAGCUCGUAGGCGGUUUGUCGCGUCGAAUGUGAAAACCCGGGGCUCAACCCCGGGCCUGCAUUCGAGACGGGCAGACUAGAGUUCGGUAGGGGAGUCUGGAAUUCCUGGUGUAGCGGUGAAAUGCGCAGAUAUCAGGAGGAACACCGGUGGCGAAGGCGGGACUCUGGGCCGAUACUGACGCUGAGGAGCGAAAGCGUGGGGAGCAAACAGG
rnacentral:rRNA from 1 species